rnacentral:rRNA from 1 species
AGGAAGGAGGGGACGACGUCUGGUCAGCAUGGCCCUUACGGCCUGGGCGACACACGUGCUACAAUGCCCACUACAAAGCGAUGCCACCCGGCAACGGGGAGCUAAUCGCAAAAAGGUGGGCCCAGUUCGGAUUGGGGUCUGCAACCCGACCCCCAUGAAGCCGGAAUCGCUAGUAAUCGCGGAUCAGCCAUGCCGCGGUGAAUACGUUCCCGGGCCUU